AGUGAACGCUGGCGGUAGGCCUAACACAUGCAAGUCGAACGGCAGCACAGUAAGAGCUUGCUCUUACGGGUGGCGAGUGGCGGACGGGUGAGGAAUACAUCGGAAUCUACUUUUUCGUGGGGGAUAACGUAGGGAAACUUACUCUAAUACCGCAUACGACCUACGGGUGAAAGCAGGGGAUCUUCGGACCUUGCGCGAUUGAAUGAGCCGAUGUCGGAUUAGCUAGUUGGCGGGGUAAAGGCCCACCAAGGCGACGAUCCGUAGCUGGUCUGAGAGGACGAUCGGCCACACUGGAACUGAGACACGGUCCAGACGACUGCGAGAGGCAGCAGUGGGGAAUGUUAGGCAAUGGGCGGAAGCAUGAUACAGCCAUACCGAGUGGGUGAAGAAGGCCUUCGGGUUGUAAAGCCCUUUUGUUGGGAAAGAAAAGCAGCAGGUUAAUACCCAGCUGUUCUGACGGUACCCAAAGAAUAAGCACCGGCUAACUUCGUG
rnacentral:rRNA from 1 species